rnacentral:lncRNA from 1 species
GAUCAUAUGUCUAUUCUGAAAGGUCGCCCUAACACACAUUUAGCACUGCAUUGCAAUGAGUGCGCAUGCACGCCUUGUUUUAGCGACACCACCUUGU